GUUAUAAAAGCCUCCGACAGCGAGUUUGCAUGGAUGCAGGCUUGAUAAUCUCACUCCACAGGUGUGCAACCGUUUUUCGGGCAUGGAGGAAACAACGUCAUACAAAUGUCAAUCAUUAAGGAACUGGACCUUGGGCAACAUGUGUCUCACAAACAGGCCUCCAAGAAAUGGGAGAACCUAAAAAAGAAAUACAAGGAACUUAAAAGGCCAAGGACUGGAACAGGGACUGAUCAGGGGGAAGAAACCCCUGCAACAUGGCCCUUCUUCAUGGCCAUGGAUGAGGCCAUAGGUGCAAGGCCUUCAAUUAGUCCUCCUGUCCUU